UCCAAAAUCAGUUUUACUGGACUGAAAUCAAAGUAACGGCAAGGCCACAAUCCUCUGAAGGCUCUAGAGAAGAAUCUGUUCCUUGCCUUUUCCAACUGCUGGUGGGUAUAUAGGCAUUCCUUGGCUUAUGGCCAUAUCACUCCAAUCUCUACCCUCAUAGUUCUAAUGCCUUCUCUUCUAUCUGAAAUCUCCUUCUGUCUCCCUCUUAUAAGGAUACUUGUGAUUGCAUUUAGGCCUUGCUUGGAUGAUCCAGGAUAAGCUCUCCAUCUGAAGAUCUUUAAUCAGAUCUGCCAAGUGUUGGCCAUCCAUACAGGAACCUUUCAGGUAGUAAUGUGUGUCAACUGGGAAAAAAAGAGAACGCAGACAAACAAGUGAAAGAGUUACAGAAGGCUAAUCCCAAAAGGAGAUGUUGCCUUUUCCAAGUUGCAACCGAACUUAAAGGGCUAUAAGAAGUCUUCACCAUUUUCAGGAGUUCAAGAUAGAUCAUCAGAGAAUUUGGGUGAAUCUCUCAUAAUGUACAAAUCCAGAGAGAAAGGUAAAGAAAGAUGUAAAGGGGGAAGAAAAAGAAAACAAAAUGGAAAAAAUACAAAAAUGUAAUGUUCACACUGCCUGUUCAAUCAUAAAUAAAUACAGCAAAACAUAUUCACUGCUAUGCUCCUUUCAUCUAAUGAAAAAAGGGAAAAAAACAAGACAAUAACACAUAUCAUAAAAUACCUCAACUUUUCUAUUUUACCUCCAUAGCAAGAUCACUAUGCAAGGCGAGCAAAAUCUUUUCAGAUGGGGUCAGGCAGUAGAGCAGUUCUAGAGACCAUUCCUUAAUACUAUUCAAAGUCUUUUAUAACAGGGGCGCCUGGGUGGCUCAGUUGGUUAAACAUCCAGCUUCGGCUCAGGUCACGAUCUCACAGUCUGUGGGUUUGAGCCUUGUGUCAGGCUCUGUGCUGACAGCUCAGAGCCUGGAGACUGUUUCAGAUUCUGUGUCUCCCUCUCUCCCUGCCCCUUCCAUGCCCCCUCAAAAAUAAACAAACAUUUAAAAAAAUAAUAAGUCUUUUAUAACCUGAUUUACCAUCUGCUCUGGAGUCCUCAAGUUUAAAAUUAUUUCUAUCACCUACCCACUUUUCAAGCGCUAAAAGUAAAGGCGGGGGAGGGCGCCUGGGAGGCUUAGUCAGUUAAGCGACUGACUUCAGCUCAGGUCAUGAUCUCAUGGUUUGUGGGUUUGAGUCCCGCAUCGGGCUCUGUGCUGACAGCUCAGAGCCUGGAACCUGCUUCGGAUCCUGUGCCUCCCUCUCUCUCUGCCCAUCCCCUGCUCACGCUCUGUCUCUGUCUCUCUCAAAAAUA